UAGGGCAAAAGUAGAGGUAUGCUAAAUUGAAAGCUUCUGCAUCAGCUUUGGAGAGGAAAGUAAAACUGAGGACAUCUUGGAAGUCUGCCACAGACCUGAUUGAUAGAAAACAGGGGAAGAAGCCUUCUCCAAACAACCAGUGGAAGCCUUCCACCUGCAGGCACUUGUAUUUAUGGGUGGUCUCAGCUGUCCAGACAACUGCUAUGAGGUCACUGUGGCUCCAUGCAGCCAGCCCAAGGUUGCACUGCGUGGGUGACACAUUUCCAAUGCAAAUGCUGAGAGGCUGUCGGGGUGUUGCUCUGUAGGACUUACUGUCCACAGACUGAGAAGGACUGACAAACACAGUCACUGGUGGCAUCUUAAGCUGCAGGGAGCACAAGGCAAUGAAGCUCAGGAUUUGGAGGAAGUCUGGAAAUAAGACUGCAGAACUAGGGCUCUAGACUUGCAGAGAACAGACCUGGUUACUUAAGGAAUUUAUAAGCAAAGUCCUCUUUGUGAAGCAGCCAUGCAGCAGCAGAACAUCCAACAGAGCUGGGUGACUCCUUCAAAGUCAACUCAUUGAUGGAUCAUGAACAAGACAGAACCUUCUCCCUGAUUUCUACAAGUAUCAGAACAGUUCAGGAAGGAGCCAGUGCUGUGUGAACAAGCUAGAAACUGUUUCAUCUGGACAUAUUCAUAUUCCUGGGAAUGACCUAAAGGUGCUGGAAAAGUUGGCUGCUGUAGUUGCCUUCUUGGCUGCUGUGAUUCCAAGACCACUGUGUAUUAUCUGUGAAAAAUCGUGAUGAAUGGAAAAAGCAAACAAUACAGUCAUGUUCAAGAAUGGCAAAAAAUAGGAUCUGGAAUGCAAUCAGCUGCUGGCUUACCUCAGUCCCUGCAAAGAUUAUGGUGCAUGAUCCUCUCUUGGAACUCAUUUCUAAACUCAAACAGGACAAGGAGGUAAUCAGAAACAGACAUCCUGGUUGCUUUCUGUAGUGAAAUGACUGAUUAUCAGAAUGAGGGGAAAAGGGUGGAUAUGCCUUUAGUAGGGUUUCUGACCCCAGACUUCUCAUCUGGAAGCCGAGAAAGGAUGGCCUGGGUGAUCAGACCAUUGGACAAGUUGAAAUGGUCCUAUGCUCAGGUAGCGGUCAGUAAAAAGCAAAGUAUUCCAAGGUUGAUAAUGGAGCUGAUGCUCCUCAGUGUUUUUGUCCACGACCUGUAUAAUAAAGCAGAAAGCACUGUUCAGCAAAUUUACAGGCAUCAUUAAGUUAAGAAGGAGCCGCUGAUACCGCAAAGGACACAGUUUAUAUUCAGACUGACCUUAAGAAACUUGAGGAUUGGGCCAGCAUGAAUUUCAACAAGAAGAACAAAUAUAUGCAUGUGGAAGACUGGGAACAGGCUGGCUGAGUAGUAGCCUUGCUGCAGGAGACCUUGGGAAUACAGUGAGGGACAAAUAGUUACUGAUUCACAUAGGUUGAAGAAGUCUCUGGAGGUUGACUAGUUGAAUCUUCUGGCAUUUUAAGAUCAGGUUGCUUAGGGCCUUGUCUUACUGUAUUUUGAAUCUCUCUACACCUCAACUUGAUAUAGUGUUUCUCUAUUCCAAUUAAAUUGAGCUUAUUAUAUUGA